GAUGAACGCUGGCGGCGUGCCUAAUACAUGCAAGUCGAGCGAACAGACGAGGCGCUUGCUUCUCUGAUUUUAGCGGCGCACGGGUGAGUAACACGUGGAUAAACUACCUAUAAGACUGGGAUAACUUCGUGAAACCGGAGCUAAUACCGGAUAAUCUUUUGAAGCCCAUGGUUCAAAAGUUAAAGACGGUCUUGCUUUCACUUAUCGAUGGAUCCGCGCUGCAUUAGCUAGUUGGUAAGGUAACGGCUUACCAAGGCAACGAUGCCUAGCCGACCUGAGAGGAUGAUCAGCCACAUUGGAACUGAGACACGGUCCAGACUCCUACGGGAGGCAGCAGUAGGGAAUCUUGCGCAAUGGGCGAAAGCCUGACGGAGCCACGCCGCGUGAAUGAUGAAGGUCUUCGGAUCGUAAAACUCUGUUAGCAGGGAAGAACAUAUGUGUAAGUAACUGUGCACAUCUUGACGUUACCUAAUCAGAAAGCCACGGCUAACUCCGUG
rnacentral:rRNA from 1 species